rnacentral:rRNA from 1 species
UACGUAGGGGUGCGAGCGUUGUCCGGAAUUAUUGGGCGUAAAGGGCUCGUAGGCGGUCUGUUGCGUCAGGAGUGAAAAACUCGGGGCUUAACCCCCGGGCCUGCAGUGGGGUACGGGCAGACUAGAGUGCGGUAGGGGAGACUGGAAUUCCUGGUGUAGCGGUGAAAUGCGCAGAUAUCAGGAGAACACCGGUGGCGAAGGCGGGUCUCUGGGCCGUAACUGACGCUGAGGAGCGAAAGCGUGGGGAGCGAACAGG